rnacentral:rRNA from 1 species
AUGAACGCUAGCGACAGGCUUAACACAUGCAAGUCGAGGGGCAGCGGGGGUAGCAAUACCCGCCGGCGACCGGCGCACGGGUGAGUAACGCGUAUGCAACUUACCUAUCAGAGGGGGAUAACCCGGCGAAAGUCGGACUAAUACCGCAUGAAGCAGGGGCCCCGCAUGGGGAUAUUUGCUAAAGAUUCAUCGCUGAUAGAUAGGCAUGCGUUCCAUUAGGCAGUUGGCGGGGUAACGGCCCACCAAACCGACGAUGGAUAGGGGUUCUGAGAGGAAGGUCCCCCACAUUGGUACUGAGACACGGACCAAACUCCUACGGGAGGCAGCAGUGAGGAAUAUUGGUCAAUGGGCGCGAGCCUGAACCAGCCAAGUCGCGUGAGGGAUGAAGGUUCUAUGGAUCGUAAACCUCUUUUAUAAGGGAAUAAAGUGCGGGACGUGUCCCGUUUUGUAUGUACCUUAUGAAUAAGGAUCGGCUAACUCCGUGCCAGCAGCCGCGGUAAUACGGAGGAUCCGAGCGUUAUCCGGAUUUAUUGGGUUUAAAGGGUGCGUAGGCGGCCUUUUAAGUCAGCGGUGAAAGUCUGUGGCUCAACCAUAGAAUUGCCGUUGAAACUGGGGGGCUUGAGUAUGUUUGAGGCAGGCGGAAUGCGUGGUGUAGCGGUGAAAUGCUUAGAUAUCACGCAGAACCCCGAUUGCGAAGGCAGCCUGCCAAGCCAUGACUGACGCUGAUGCACGAAAGCGUGGGGAUCAAACAGGAUUAGAUACCCUGGUAGUCCACGCAGUAAACGAUGAUCACUAGCUGUUUGCGAUACAGUGUAAGCGGCACAGCGAAAGCGUUAAGUGAUCCACCUGGGGAGUACGCCGGCAACGGUGAAACUCAAAGGAAUUGACGGGGGCCCGCACAAGCGGAGGAACAUGUGGUUUAAUUCGAUGAUACGCGAGGAACCUUACCCGGGUUUGAACGCAUUCGGACCGAGGUGGAAACACCUCUUCUAGCAAUAGCCGUUUGCGAGGUGCUGCAUGGUUGUCGUCAGCUCGUGCCGUGAGGUGUCGGCUUAAGUGCCAUAACGAGCGCAACCCUUGCCACUAGUUACUAACAGGUGAUGCUGAGGACUCUGGUGGGACUGCCAGCGUAAGCUGCGAGGAAGGCGGGGAUGACGUCAAAUCAGCACGGCCCUUACAUCCGGGGCGACACACGUGUUACAAUGGCGUGGACAAAGGGAUGCCACCUGGCGACAGGGAGCGAAUCCCCAAACCACGUCUCAGUUCGGAUCGGAGUCUGCAACCCGACUCCGUGAAGCUGGAUUCGCUAGUAAUCGCGCAUCAGCCAUGGCGCGGUGAAUACGUUCCCGGGCCUUGUACACACCGCCCGUCAAGCCAUGGGAGCCGGGGGUACCUGAAGUCCGUAACCGCGAGGAUCGGCCUAGGGUAAAACUGGUGACUGGGGCU